AGAGUUUGAUCCUGGCUCAGAAUCAACGCUGGCGGCGCGCUUAACACAUGCAAGUCGCACGAGAAAGUGGAGCAAUCCAUGAGUAAAGUGGCGUACGGGUGAGUAACACGUGGAUCAUCUACCUCUUAGUGGGGAAUAACCCUGGGAAACCGGGGCUAAUACCGCAUAAGCCUGCAAAGGGAAAGCAGCAAUGCGCUGAGAGAGGAGUCCGCGGCCGAUUAGCUAGUUGGUAGGGUAAUGGCCUACCAAGGCAAUGAUCGGUAGCCGGCCUGAGAGGGCACACGGCCACACUGGCACUGAAACACGGGCCAGACUCCUACGGGAGGCAGCAGUGGGGAAUCUUGCACAAUGGAGGAAACUCUGAUGCAGCGACGCCGCGUGAGCGAUGAAGCCCUUCGGGGUGUAAAGCUCUUUC
rnacentral:rRNA from 1 species